rnacentral:tRNA from 1 species
CGGGCCGUAGUAUACCGGCAGUACAUAUCCAUGGGGUGGAUAAAGACCGGGUUCAAUUCCCGGCGGCCCGA